UGGGCUGUUGACUAAUUGGUAAGUCAUCGACUUUUGAUGUCGACUAAUGGGAGUUCGAGCCUUCCCAGCCCAG
rnacentral:tRNA from 1 species